rnacentral:lncRNA from 1 species
CUAUACCCUCCUUUAGCACUAAUGUUCAUAAGUCAAUAUACAGUAGUAUGUAUUAGACCUAGAACUUUACUAGCUCGUUCAUUUUUUUUAGUAAAAGAUGAUUUAGUCAUCUUCUCAAGAAGACAAGACUCAGAUCAGUAAUGAUUCACAAUCAUUGAUAUUGAGGAUAUCCUCUUGUGCUAACCUGUUUAUCCUACUCUUGUUAAUGUGACCA